AGUUGGUGUUUUAUAAUUGUUACGGAAAAGAAAAAAAAAAAAAAAAAG
rnacentral:ribozyme from 1 species